GGAAGUAAAAGUCGUAACAAAGUUUCCGUAGGUGAACCUGCGGAAGGAUCAUUAAUGAGUUGUCAUGGGGUUCGAUGCUGGCAGCCAGUUUUUGGAUGCAUGUGCUUGCCCUAACAAUCAUCUUCUUCCAAACACCUGUGCACAUUUUUGAGGGAGUCUUGAGUUGGUUGCCGCUCUUGGGUGAUUUUCUCACAUUCCCUUAAAUCAUUAUACGCUAUUAACAAUGUUGAACGUGCUCUGUGCCGCAAGGCCAUUAAUAUAAUACAACUUUUAACAACGGAUCUCUUGGCUCUC
rnacentral:misc_RNA from 1 species